CCGAGAGCGUCUGCAGCAUAGCACAAACUGACGGCAGAAGACAGUACGAACACUUGGUAGCAUAAAUUCGGUAUCUUCCACGCCCUCGUUUGCGUCCUGUGCCUGCACGUCCCGCGCAUGCUUAGUAAGACGCUCGUCAGAAGGAACUCAACUUCCCAAGUAAUUUGCUAGACAUCAUAGGGCUCCUUUUGGAAUGUUUCUGGCGUACCUGUGAAGGUGAGACGCCAUAUUGCUGCUUUUCUUAGGGCUGAGUGUUGUCUAAGUCCGCACUUCGCUACGGUGACGCAGAAGCAAAUUGCCAAAUUUUCUCCAACUUGCGACGACUUUCUUCCUGCUGUCUCUUAUGCGUACAGUUUUCUCUAGCUGACGACCCCAAUCUAGCUGUGUCUCUCUGAUUUGGAUUUGUCUGUCAGCUCG
rnacentral:lncRNA from 1 species